rnacentral:rRNA from 1 species
GCACGACAGUGGGAAAGGGGAAUUCUACGUGCUUAUGUUAUACAUAGGCUUUUGUAUAGGGUAAUAACUAUGCGUAUAAGGGGGGGGAAAGACCGGUGCCAGCAGCCGCGGUAACACCGGCGCCUCGGUGGCAAUCAUAUUUAUUGGGCCUAAAGCAUCCGUAGCCGGAUUGAUAAAUUUUCUGUGAAAUCUCUGGCUUAACCAAGAGGCGUGCAGAAAACACUAUUUUUCUAGAGACCGGGAGAAGUUAGAAGUAUUUAAGGGGAGCGGUAAAAUGUUAUAAUCCUUGGAGGACUACCAAUGGCGAAGGCAUCUAACUAGAAGGAUCUGACGGUGAGGGAUGAAGGCUAGGGGAGCAAAACGGAUUAGAUACCCGAGUAGUCCUAGGUAAACGCUGUAUGCAAGGUGUUGCUAAUUCUUGUGAAUUAGCAGUAUCGAAGAGAAGUCGUUAAGCAUACCGCCUGGGAAGUACGGUCGCAAGACUGAAACUUAAAGGAAUUGG